rnacentral:rRNA from 1 species
GGACCCCACUGCUAUCGGGAUAGGACUAAGACAUGCUAGUCAAGCGCUCUUUAGCUAUGAAUAGAGUGCGGCGCACAGCUCAGUAACACGUGGCUAACCUGCCCUAGGGACAGAGACAACCCCGGGAAACUGGGGCUAAUCCCCUGAUAGGGGAAAACUCUGGGAAUGUGAGUCUCCGCCCAAAAGACGCUUACAUCAUGCUGUAGGCGUCGCCUUAGGAUGGGGCCGCGACCGAUCAGGUUGUUGGUGAGGUAACGGCUCACCAAGCCAUUUACCGGUACGGGCCGUGAGAGCGGGAGCCCGGAGAUGGGCACUGAGACAAGGGCCCAGGCCCUACGGGGCGCAGCAGUCGCGCAAACUUUGCAAUACACGAAAGUGUGACAGGGCUAUCCCGAGUGCCGCCCGCUGAGGGUGGCUUUUACCCAGUAUAACAAGCUGGGAGAAUAAGGAGAGGGCAAGACUGGUGUCAGCC